AACGUAGGAGACUAGCGUUAUCCGGAUUUACUGGGCGUAAAGCGUGUGCAGGCGGUUCGGCAAGUUGGAUGUGAAAUCUCCCGGCUCAACUGGGAGGGUGCGCCGAAGACUGCAAGGCUUGAGUAUGGGAGAGGCAAGCGGAAUUCCUGGUGUAGCGGUGAAAUGCGUAGAUAUCAGGAGGAACACCUGUGGUGUAGACAGCUUGCUGGACCAUCACUGACGCUGAGGCACGAAAGCGUGGGUAGCAAACAGG
rnacentral:rRNA from 1 species